rnacentral:rRNA from 1 species
GGGCCCGCACAAGCGGAGGAACGUGUGGUUUAAUUCGAUGAUACGCGAGGAACCUUACCCGGGCUUGAAUUGCGUCCGCAGGGACCCGAGAGGGUCCUAUUCNUUCGGGACGGCCGCGAAGGUGCUGCAUGGUUGUCGUCAGCUCGUGCCGUGAGGUGUCGGCUCAAGUGCCAUAACGAGCGCAACCCCUGCUCCCGGUUGCCAGCGGUGAAAGCCGGGCACUCCGUGGGGACUGCCUCCGCAAGGAGCGAGGAAGGGGGGGACGACGUCAAAUCAGCACGGCCCUUACGUCCGGGGCUACACACGUGUUACAAUGGUGGGUACAGCGGGCCGCUAUACGGCGACGUAAUGCCAAUCCCGAAAUCCCAUCCCAGUUCGGACUGGAGUCUGCAACCCGACUCCACGAAGCUGGAUUCGCUAGUAAUCGCGCAUCAGCCAUGGCGCGGUGAAUACGUUCCCGGGCCUUGUACACACCGCCCGUCAAGCCAUGAAAGCCGGGGGCGCCUGAAGUCCGUGACCGCGAGGGUCGGCCUAGGGCGAAACCGGUGAUUGGGGCUAAGUCGUAACAAGGUAACCGU